rnacentral:ncRNA from 2 species
CCUUAACGUGAAGGCGACGGUUCCCUUCGGGGAUCAAAAGGGAAUGCGGUGAGGGGGAUCCCCCGAUUCCGUGGCUGCCCCCGCAACUGUAAGCGGCGAGCCUAAGCCAAGAGCCACUGGGUGUUCACCUGGGAAGGCGGCGACAGGCAUUGACCCGCGAGCCAGGAGACCUGCCGCCAGUCGUGGUCACAC